rnacentral:rRNA from 1 species
UACGUAGGGGGCAAGCGUUGUCCGGAUUUAUUGGGCGUAAAGAGCGUGUAGGCGGCCUGGAAGGUCCGUUGUGAAAACUCGAGGCUCAACCUCGAGACGCCGAUGGAAACCACCUGGCUAGAGUCCGGAAGAGGAGAGUGGAAUUCCUGGUGUAGCGGUGAAAUGCGCAGAUAUCAGGAAGAACACCCGUGGCGAAGGCGGCUCUCUGGGACGGUACUGACGCUGAGACGCGAAAGCGUGGGGAGCGAACAGG